rnacentral:rRNA from 1 species
GACGAACGCUGGCGGCGUGCUUAACACAUGCAAGUCGAACGGAAAGGCCCUGCUUUUGUGGGGUGCUCGAGUGGCGAACGGGUGAGCAACACGUGAGUAACCUGCCCUUGACUUUGGGAUAACUUCAGGAAACUGGGGCUAAUACCGGAUAGGAGCUCCUGCUGCAUGGUGGGGGUUGGAAAGUUUCGGCGGUUGGGGAUGGACUCGCGGCUUAUCAGCUUGUUGGUGGGGUAGUGGCUUACCAAGGCUUUGACGGGUAGCCGGCCUGAGAGGGUGACCGGCCAAAUUGGGACUGAGAUACGGCCCAGACUCCUACGGGAGGCAGCAGUGGGGAAUAUUGCACAAUGGGCGGAAGCCUGAUGCAGCAACGCCGCGUGCGGGAUGACGGCCUUCGGGUUGUAAACCGCUUUCGCCUGUGACGAAGCGUGAGUGACGGUAAUGGGUAAAGAAGCACCGGCUAACUACGUG